GAUCCAUCUGCCUUGGCCUCCCAAAGUGCUGGGAUUACAGGCAUGAGCCACUGCACCCGGCUGCUGCCAGUAACUUUAACCUUUCAAGUUUGUGUGUUUAAGUGGAAAAAGCAUGCACGUAGACAUUUUGGUUUAUUCUUGAGAACACUGGCUUUCGAAUCCAAAAGCUCUUGGCUCAAAGGUUAGCUCUACCACUUAUUUGACUAUUCGAGUUUGGGAAAACUAUGUAACGCUUCUAAAUCUUAGUUUUCUUAAUUGUUAAAAUUUUAUAUUUGCCUCAUAAGAUAUUUCGGAGAGCUUAAGUAAAUUAGAUAAGGUAUAUAAAGUACUUCAUACUCUAAUUGGUAGUUUAGAAAAGUUUGUAUGUCAGUCUAAAUGGUUAUAACUUUGAUGUGGUUUUGGACAAUGUUUCUCUCUACUUCAUGUCUUGCCUUAAUGUGGGUUGCUCACCUAACCUGCUUACCAGGGCCUCACCAUGGAUAGUAGACAGGUGUCUACUUCACCUUACGUGUUUGGAAAUGCUGUGUCUUGUUCCUGUCUAACCUGGCUCUUUAUCACGGGGCUCUUAGUUUUGGUUCCUGGCCCCACAUCAGGCCCUUCCUGCCCUGGUGAGCUGUUGCAGCCUGUUUCUCUGACUCUCCCUUUCACUGGUGAGAGUCACUGGGUUCUGGAGUGGUUUUGUACUCCUCUUUCUGGCUCCACAUGAAAACCAGUAUGGUUAGAGGUAUAUUUCUACCCUUCCACCUGGGAUAGGAGGAUUUUUUUUUUCACCAAAUCAAUUAUUUUAAUCUUUAAAUUCUUUCCGAAAGUGUGUCAUUUGAAUUUAUAGUCAAUCUUGCUUUUCUUCUGCUUUUAACUUCCAGUUUUAAUGCUGCGUGUUUAUUAGAAACAUAGCCUUAUGAAGAGAACUUUGAUUUAUUGUAUUGUAUUAAAAAGGGCCAAUAUUCACCAGAUUUUCAUUAGCUUAGAAUACAUAGGAGAAAUUUUUAGCUGUGAGUCUUGUUGAUUGUGAUGAAGAUUCCCUUAAGAAACUGUUUUAGUGACUAAUAAAGUCUUGUGAGAAAGUGCUAGUUGCUUCCAUCACAGAUUACACUUAGUGGCAGCGUUGGAGGUUCAGUGACUUGUCAUGGUUUUGCAUUCUUUUUUUGGUUAUGGUCAUGAAUUCUCUGUUGUCCUAAGGCCUAUUGUAAUGAUAUGUUUUCAGCCACACUUAUGAUUUCAUGCUUUUCAGAUGCCAAAGGGGUUUGUCUUUGUUACACAUUUACACAAACACUUUGCUUCCUAUUUCCUCUUCACUUUAUUGAUGCUCCUCUUGCCCAACUGGAGGGUGUCGGCGGAGAGACGUGAGUCUGCCUGAGCAGGUAUCUCCUAAUCCUGAGUUUUGCUUGUGUUGGUGAACAUGUGGCAAGCCUCUUCCGCUGGACCAAGUGAGAGUCCUGGAGAGAGAACAGAGGCACCAGAUAUAGACUAAGGUGUAAGGAGCAAGAUGUAAUUGUUUAACUCAACUGGAUUUUUUAAUUGGGUGGAAUAAUUAAUUCAGGGUUGGCACACCUAAAAAGAUGUGACUUACUGUGAAGGAUUCAUUAAUAAAUAAUUGGGCUCUCCCUGCCAUAUAUAUAUUCUUGCCUAAAAGCAUCUUUGUAUGGCGCAGUGAUAUUAUAUAUAAAUUGAAUUGACAUGAAUUCAGCUGUAUGUACUCCAUCUUUUAUAAUAACUGUAAUUGUUAUAUAUGUGACAAUUCACAAAUGAAGGAAUUUACAGUAAUAAUUUCAAUAAUAUCUGAUUUUAUACUAUUCUUUACUGACGUUAAUAUCUAUCUGUAAGAUAGGGAUAAAUCUCCUAUAAAUUCUUACCUAUAAAUUCUUUGAGGGUAGGAGAAGUAACGAGAGGUAAUGACUUUUGAUGUUGUUAAAGAUGGCAUACCAAAGGGCAAUGCAGUGGUAAUUUUUGACAGAUUAAGAUCAGAUGUUUUCGGGGCAAAGAGCUAUUUGUUUUUUGACUUCCAGUGGUCUGUUUUUUGACAUCUGUUUGUGCUGGAGUAAAAUUAAUUUAUUUACUUUUAUAAUGUUUUUAGCAGUUAGCCAUAGUUUGGGUUGGUUCCAGCUCUCAUAAUUGAAUCACUUUGAUGAGAAUUUAUGAGAAUCUUUACAUAGUUAGGGACCAAUAAAAUACUGUUCUUGCUAGAAGAUAGAAAUGAUACCCAACAAUAGUACUCAUGUUAAAACUUAGUGAGUUGAGUAUUUGUUUUCAGAAUUUAAAAAAAGAAAAAAAGGUGAGUCACCUAUAGUUACAGAUCUUGAUUCUGCUCCCCACAAGCCUUUCAAUAAAUGCUAUAUUGUAAUGGUUAUUGCAACAAGAAGCUAUUGUGUGGCACUCAUGAAAUGAGUAUCUCUUUUGAUCCAUGAAUAGCGCUAUUAUCAAGGGGACACUUGAAGCCUGGAAGAAAAGCUUUUCUUUUGCCCUUUCUUCUGGAUGCAUUUUUUUUUCUCUUAGAAUAGCCACCAGUUUAUAUUUGGAAUAUAGCCUAAUAACUGGUGCCCUAGCCUCAUUAAAUCUUGUUUCUUAUUGGGUGAAAUGAUUGACUGUAAGUACAACAGUCCAAUAUGGAAGUAAAAAAGCAAUACUCAAUUUAUAGCUGACUUUUAGGAAACGUACUUGUCGCAGUUUUGGUCUGGUCUCGUUCAAGGAAGGGCCUGAGAGUGAGAAGAAAGAUGGCCACAGCAAGGAAGGCAUUUCUUCUGCCAGCUGGCUAGGCAGAGCCAAAGCUGCUGGGCUACAGCUGGGAGCACUUGUAACUCCAGACCCAGGCUCACGGCCUCCAAGGUGGUGCAUCUUUAAGAUUCAAGAUGAUGGGGAGAAUUUUGAAGUUAUUUUUAUUCUCUGAUUGUACUUUCCUCAUCCUAGACUUCACAUGGGCAGACAGACAGUGGGGUACGUUUAAAGCAGUGGUUCUUGUAAGCAUUUGGCAACAUCUGGAGACUUUAGUUGUCACAGGUAGAGGGAUUACUCUGGCAUUUGUCACUGGACAGUGAAACAUCCUGCAAUACACAGAAUAGCCUCUCAGGAAAGAAUUAUCUGGUCCCACAUGUCAAUAGUGAGAGUAACAGAGGAAUGUAAAGUUUCUUCUAUCAUGGUCUCAACCUGAAGGCUAGUAGAAAGAAAGCAGGGGCAGAAUUCUUACUUUAGGCCUGAAAAGGAGAGUAAUAGAAAAGUUGGUGUACUAUGAUAACUCAUGACGGAUUUUGUAGCCAUACCCAUAAGCUGUCAUCUUCAGACGGAAAAGAAGUUUAAGGGCUAAGUUAGUUCCAGUGAAGGCCAACUUGCAUUUAAGUGAGUGGUACAAAAUCAGAAACUGCUUAAGCCACACAUUUGUCUGUGUGUUGAAGAAAUGGGAGAAUUAUCACUAAUAAAAUCACAUUUUUGUUUGCAAAUAUAUAGCUUGAUUCAGUAUGUGUGACGUUGUUGGAUUAUACUUUUUGGUUGUUUCAUUUAGUCCUAACUGAACUUUUUGACAGUGAAUUAGAACAGAGCACAAGUCUAGUUUCACUGACACUUAAAUCAGCAGAAGAUUAUAGGGAUCCUUUUUUGAAUUUAGUAAUUGUGGUUUCUUUUUUGACGUAGUUGCCAUAAUUGAGAAACUGAAGCGUGGUCUGUUCAGGGCAAAAUGAGUCAUGAAAUCAGAAAAUAUAUAGAUAUUUGUGGAGAAAAAGAUUAAUAUAGCAUAAAUGCUAGAGGAGGGAAGAAUGAUUUGAAAAACUCCUGUUUUACAA